rnacentral:tRNA from 1 species
UGCGUUGUCCGGGAGUCGAACCCGGGUCCCUUGCUUGGAAGGCAAGUAUCCUAACCGUUGGACUAACAACGC